rnacentral:rRNA from 1 species
AACGCGAAGAACCUUACCAAGUCUUGACAUCCCCCUGACCGGAACUUAACCGUUCCUUUCCUUCGGGACAGGGGAGACAGGUGGUGCAUGGUUGUCGUCAGCUCGUGUCGUGAGAUGUUGGGUUAAGUCCCGCAACGAGCGCAACCCUUAUCCUUAGUAGCCAGCAAGUAGUGUUGGGCACUCUAGGGAGACUGCCAGGGAUAACCUGGAGGAAGGUGGGGAUGACGUCAAAUCAUCAUGCCCCUUAUGAUUUGGGCAACACACGUGCUACAAUGGCGGCCACAAAGAGAAGCGAACCCGCGAGGGGGAGCAAAUCCCAAAAAAGCCGUCCCAGUUCGGAUUGUAGUCUGCAACUCGACUGCAUGAAGCUGGAAUCGCUAGUAAUCGCGAAUCAGAAUGUCGCGGUGAAUACGUUCCCGGGUCUUGUACACACCG